rnacentral:lncRNA from 1 species
UACAGUUACGCUUACACCAAGAAAUCCUAUUCUAUUACGUUAAAAUUUGAUUUAAAUGCAACACUUACUAUAACAAGAAGAGUGUGAACUCAUUCUCAAGCACACUUGUAGCUGCUGGACUUUUUCUUAGGAUAUUUAGUAAGUCUAGGUUCAAUAGAGGCAAUCCAUUAAUUCAUAGUAGCUAUCUAAUAGUAAAACUCUCCCAAUCAAGCAAGUAAGACAAUAAAGGCAAAUCGCCAAUCAAUUUGCCGAUCCAACUAUGGACAAAACAUCACCCCCAAAGGCUUGGCUAAACUGAGACACCCAGA